rnacentral:lncRNA from 1 species
CUUCUUUCUUAAAAGACAAUUUAAGGAGAAAAAGGCAUUUUUUAAAUUGUAGCCAGGUUAUCUAAAUAAUCUCCAAUAACAUUCAUUAGAGAUUAUGCAUCUCAAUUUUAGAUUAAGAAAGUCAAGCAGUGAAGUCUUAUAAGACAAAUAUUUCUUUUCUCUUAGAAUCUCCUAAUCACAAACAUGUAUUCUUAUUCCUUGUGUACUUGUUGCUGCUUACUGUCAUUCAAUACAAUGACCCUAAGCUCCCCAGUCAAUUUUGAAAUCAUCAAAUUAUUCUAUUCUUGGCUCAUGUUCUUCAAGGCAUGCUUUACUCCUGAAUUUCAAUAAACCCAUUAAUAUGAGAUCCUGAACAUGAGAGUUCAGCAACUCAAGAACAUCUUCGGCAUUUUCAAUCAUUCAAAUAAAGUUUAUUGCCAUAACAUCUGGACUUUCUGUUAUCUGGAUAUGAUAUUGACUUCUAUAAUGUUUCUCAGUUCUGAAUCUUUUAAAGAAGAAAAGAAAAUCUUUCUUUCAGAUGCCCUUCAUUAUUUUAGUAAUCUAUUUAUAAGUUAUCCUAUAAU